CCCUUAGAUGUCCGGGGCCGCACGCGCGCUACACUGAAGGAAUCAGCGUGGCUUUCUCCCUGACCCGAAAGGGUUGGGAAACCCGUUGAAUCUCCUUCGUGAUAGGGAUUGGGCUUGAAAUUGUUCCCCAUGAACGAGGAAUUCCCAGUAAGCGCGAGUCAUAAGCUCGCGUUGAUUACGUCCCUGCCCUUUGUACACACCGCCCGUCGCUACUACCGAUUGAACGGUUUAGUGAGGGCCUCGGAUUGGUCUCGGCCCGCUCUUUACCGGGCGGCGCCGUUGGUCGAGAAGACGCUCGAACUUGAUCGUUUAGAGGAAGUAAAAGUCGUAACA
rnacentral:rRNA from 1 species